GUCAGAUCCCGGGGUCACGGCACCAAAUUGUUGUGGAUCAGAAUGUUGAUCUUUGUUAUAUUCAGAGGAAGCCCAAAUUGUUGUUACAAGUGCACUUGGAGAAGCGAGAAUUAGACACCAGACACCUGUUGGUAUUCAAAAUAAGCCUCUGACGUUUUAUUCAUCAGCUGGGUUUUAUACAUUAAAAAGUAAGUGCUUACGUGCAAAUACUCUUAGAACAGUAAUAGGAAGAGAGUACAGAUAAGACAUAGGGAUGAGCGUCAUGUACACAUAACAAAUAAGUUUCAAGGCAAGAGAGAACAAAAUGAUUAGAGCAGAGACAUCUUAGGUGGGGGCUCUCUGCUCCCGGAACUUAAACAUAUAUGGUCUUAAGUGUUGUUUAAGCAUCAAGCAUUUCCUGAGUCCAAGUUAGCCAAUUUUAAUAUAGGAUAUCAUUAUAUGACACCUAUAAGCUUGAGCCUUGGAAUCAAGAAAUUCUAUCACACUAUUGUACUCAAGGCUAGGGACCCCAGGCUUAACAAGAAGCUGGCUGUGACGAGACCAAUCUCGCCACAUUGCAUUGGAGAAGCCUGGUUGCUCGCCUGCUGCCUUUGGACUAUGGCCCCCUGUUAAAAGACAUCUUUUUUAACUGCAGAAAAGCUUCAUUCGUGCUUUUCUGCCUGGGGUUCGGUAGAUUUGUUUGAAUGUGUUAUACCCCAGAUAGGAAUCCCAUGGAGCCCAUUCGUAUGAAACUGACUGUAAAG